rnacentral:misc_RNA from 1 species
AAACCUUCAUCCAUGCCUCGA